rnacentral:lncRNA from 1 species
ACAGAAACACACACACACAGGGAGAAAGCCAUGUGAAGACAGGCAGAGACUGGGGUAAUGCAGCUACAAGGGAAUGUCAGAGAUUGCUAGCAAACACCAGAAGCUGGAAGAGGCAAUUAAGGAUUGCUCCCUAGAGCUUUUAGAGGGAGGACGGCUCUGCCACCUGCCUUGUUCUUGGACUCCUAGCCUCCAGAAUUAGGUCACCUGUUGGGCAAUAUCACCAUAGACUGAAUACAGAAGCAGAUAUUAGCCUCCAGCCUCCUGCUCAUCUGGACACUAGAGAGAGUGGAUAUUCUAAAAGCAGAAAUCUUGACACUUAAGCCAAAAAGCCCUCCCAUUCAGAAGGAUGUAUGGAUUUUUCAUACUUGCAUCUGCGGGACGCAGAUGGUCCGAGUCACAAGUAAAGAAUGUCUGGUGGUCUUGGGCAGAGAGAUUCAUGUCAUAAGGAAUCACUAACACCUUGACUCCAGAUCAUGGCUUGAAACACACUGGAAUGGGAUUUUGCAUAAAAGAAGAAAGCUCAGGAAUGAUAAAUUUACACACCAUGGAUCUAGAAGGGAGUCUAUAACCCCAGAAUCACCAUUAUUUUGGGUGAUCCAUAUGGCUAUCAAUUAAAGUGCUACCUGAGUGCUGUUCAACUUCUUGAGAUGGAUGAAAAAGGAAUGAAAGGAGACAUAGCAAUCUUCAACUCCGCUCCUUUACUUUUGAAUAAGAGGUGAUGGAAGGCAAGGUCAGAGAGAUCUGGGUUCAAAUCUCAUGAUUUAACUGCUAUAUAACCUUGGCCAAAUUAUUUAAACUUUGUGUCUGUUUUUACUUAGCAAUAUAAAGACACUGGUCAUACCCACCACUCAGAAUUUCAAUCAGAACUAAAUGAAAUAAUAUAUGCAAAGUGCUUAAUAUAGUACACCUGGCAUGGAGUGGUAACUCAAUAAAUAGAUCUUUUGUUAUAAAAAAAAAAAAAAAAAAAAAAAA